rnacentral:rRNA from 1 species
UACAGAGACUGCGAGCGUUAUUCGGAUUCACUGGGCGUAAAGGGUGCGCAGGCGGCCGAGUGUGUGAGGCGUGAAAGCCCGGGGCUUAACCCCGGAAUUGCACCUCAAACUACACGGCUAGAGCAUUGGAGAGGGUAGCAGAAUUCAUGGUGUAGCAGUGAAAUGCGUAGAUAUCAUGAGGAAUACCAGAGGCGAAGGCGGC